rnacentral:rRNA from 1 species
ANUUAUUGGGCGUAAAGCGAGCGCAGGCGGUUAGAUAAGUCUGAAGUUAAAGGCUGUGGCUUAACCAUAGUACGCUUUGGAAACUGUUUAACUUGAGUGCAGAAGGGGAGAGUGGAAUUCCAUGUGUAGCGGUGAAAUGCGUAGAUAUANGGAGGAACACCGGUGGCGAAAGCGGCUCUCUGGUCUGUAACUGACGCUGAGGCUNGAAAGCGUGGGGAGCGAACAGGAUUAGAUACCCUGGUAGUNCACGCCGUAAACGAUGAGUGCUAGGUGUUAGGCCCUUUCCGGGGCUUAGUGCCGCAGCUAACGCAUUAAGCACUCCGCCUGGGGAGUACGACCGCAAGGUUGAAACUCAAAGGAAUUGACGGGGGCCCGCACAAGCGGUGGAGCAUGUGGUUUAAUUCGAAGCAACGCGAAGAACCUUACCAGGUCUUGACAUCCCGAUGCCCGCUCUAGAGAUAGAGUUUUACUCCGGUACAUCGGUGACAGGUGGUGCAUGGUUGUCGUCAGCUCGUGUCGUGAGAUGUUGGGUUAANNNNNGCAACGAGCGCAACCCUUAUUGUUAGUUGCCAUCAUUCAGUUGGGCACUCUAGCGAGACUGCCGGUAAUAAACCGGAGGAAGGUGGGGAUGACGUCAAAUUAUCAUGCCCCUUAUGACCUGGGCUACACACGUGCUACAAUGGCUGGUACAACGAGUCGCAAGUCGGUGACGGCAAGCUAAUCUCUUAAAGCCAGUCUCAGUUCGGAUUGUAGGCUGCAACUCGCCUACAUGAAGUCGGAAUCGCUAGUAAUCGCGGAUCAGCACGCCGCGGUGAAUACGUUCCCGGGCCU